rnacentral:lncRNA from 10 species
CAGCAUUCCAGGCAGAGAGAGCCGAGUGUGCAAAGGCAGGAAGGCAGGAAGGCUGUGUGGAGUUAGAGGCACCUGCUGCUGUCACUGAGUGCAGUGACUGGGAAGGUAGAGGUUGGUGGUGGGAGGGUCCCCUGAGAGAACGGUAGGGAUCUCACGGAACGCAGCAAAUCCAGGCUGUUUCUCUCCCAGUGCUCAAAGGCUCCUGACUGUGGAGAGCUAAAGCUGCCAGGAGCUGCCUGUGCUUGCCAAGUGGUUGCAGAUGUUUCCUCCCUACUGCUCUGACUUUGCCAGCGGGCACUGCGAUGUGCUGCCAAUGCCUGUGCCUCCUACCCCCACACCUCCGCUGCUGAGAGUGCUGAUGGCAGGCAGCUUGCAGGUGAGACUCCUCCCACCACCGUCAUUGCCUCCUCACCUAAUGCCAUGGUCCCUCCAGGGCCAGCCUGCAUCCAGAGACUGGUUCACAUGGGGGUAUAAAAGCCCAGGCCCCUUGCCCCAACUUGGGACAACUAUGAAGAGUUUCCAGCUCCACAGCUCCCUGAGGGGCUGGCCGAGGCCUUUGUGGGGUUUGCCUCACAACCCAAUUUAUCCCUCUGGCCAAUUCUGCUUCAAUCACUCCCUGCCAGGUGUUGACCUUGAAUGUACUCCCCCAAUAA